rnacentral:rRNA from 1 species
UACGUAGGGUGCAAGCGUUGUCCGGAAUUAUUGGGCGUAAAGAGCUCGUAGGCGGUCUGUCGCGUCGGCUGUGAAAACCCGAGGCUCAACCUCGGGCCUGCAGUCGAUACGGGCAAACUAGAGUACUGCAGGGGAGACUGGAAUUUCUGGUGUAGCGGUGAAAUGCGCAGAUAUCAGGAGGAACACCGGUGGCGAAGGCGGGUCUCUGGGCAGUAACUGACGCUGAGGAGCGAAAGCGUGGGGAGCGAACAGG